UCAGUAAGUUUAGCUUUCUGGCAAUAUUCAUCACUAAUACUUUCCCCCCCCAGUUCAGAAAUUACUCACAUUCACUUCCUGGCGGGAGGUGCCUGGAGCAGGAGGUGGUUUGAGGCUGGCAAGGAGCAGCUGUUGGGUGUUUGCACUGCGGACGCGAGGAUAUUCUUGAAAACUUGUGCUACAGCCCUGGAGAAACCACGUCGCCUGCGCACUGCAGCUGGGGAGCAGCCUGGUCUCCACAUCUCUGUCCGACGCUCUCACCCCUGACCCUAGCUGCUCAUCUGCCGGUUGUGGACAUUCCCACCAUGUAGCAAUGGCUGCUCGGGCACCAUGACUCGGCUUCCAGCGCAUGUGAAUUCUGCUCUUCCCUUACUCUGAAUAAAGAACUUUUCACUUCGGGCCUCUGAAUAAUCCUUCUGGAGUCAGUGGGAAUACUUGACUGCUUAAAGUUUUAUCGCCUGCUUAAAUACUUUGUUGCUCAGGGCCUAAAUUAUGACUGAACAUAAAUGAUUAGAUGAGUGUUUAUUCUCCUUUUUCAGGCUUCACACUGAAUAAGAAAUUACACCAACUGUACUCACAUGAAAGCGGGAGUUUAUCUCAAUAUUUUCAUUUUGAAAUUAAAGUAUUGAAUGCAGAAAAACCCACAAGGGUGAAAAUAAUUAGUGCUCUUUCCCGACUGAACCAUUCUGACUUUGUAAUCCUUUUAUUUAUGGUUUUAAUGACAAAUAAACUCUUAUUGUAAAUAUUUAAUCAUGAAGAGUGGUUAAGCAGGACUUAUGUGAUGAAUGGGUCUCACACGGAUCUGCCGAUAUGGCUGAAAACUUGCCCAUUCUUCCCUGCAGCUGUGCCCGACAUCCACCCUCGGGCAGCACCGGGAAGUGCCGACACGGGAUUCACAAGGUCUUGGACACUCUCCAGAUUCCUCCUGGUCUUACCCAAUAAUCUCCAUACUGGUCCAGUAACUUCCGCAUGACAUAAGGACAGCUUGUACUGUGCUGAGGUAUAUCUUCCGAAAAAUACCUAGUUGUCAUCUGGAAAUACCACAGGCAGGAGAAGUCAGCGCUUCCACUUGUCCCAGUGGCUAUUUACACCCUCCAGUAGAAAGUGGUGCUUAGUUUUUCCUUUGAAGAAGCCUGUCUUCAGCUUCCAGCCACUCGGCCUUGUUACAGCUUUCUCUGCUAUCUUAAGGAACUGAUUGUGCAGAACUACCUUGUGUUUCCUCCCAGAAAACGACUCGCAUUUUGUAAUGCAAUUGUCUUUCAAUGUUUUGGGUAAGCCAAACAGACUGAGUUGUUUUGAGUUUCUGACUGUAAGGUAUAUUAAUAUUAAACCCGCCCAGAAGCAUUAAAGGUAGUUUUUCUUCACUCUCCGUUUUUCAAUCACUCUUGUAGACACCAAAGCCCUGUACAAUGUAUUAGUGUCAAUCACAUCAAUACAAUGUACAUUAGUAAAAUCUCUAUUAUUGCCAAACCAGCCUUAGAUACCCAGGCAA